CCCUUAGAUGUCCUGGGCCGCACGCGCGCUACACUGAUGCAUUCAACGAGUUUUUCCUUGGCCGAGAGGCCUGGGCAAUCUUGUGAACGUGCAUCGUGAUAGGGAUAGAUUCUUGCAAUUAUUAAUCUUGAACGAGGAAUUCCUAGUAAACGCAGAUCAUCAAUCUGCAUUGAUUACGUCCCUGCCCUUUGUACACACCGCCCGUCGCACCUACCGAUUGAAUGGUCCGGUGAAGCCUCGAGAUUGUGGCUAGCUUGCUUCAUUGCGAGUUAGUUGCGAGAACUUGUCUAAACCUUAUCAUUUAGAGGAAGGUGAANUCGUAACA
rnacentral:rRNA from 1 species